AUACGUAGGGGGCGAGCGUUAUCCGGAUUUAUUGGGCGUAAAGCGUGUGUAGGCGGUUUGUUAAGUUUAAGAUUAAAGCCCGAGGCUUAACCUCGGUUCGUCUUAAAAACUGGCAGACUUGAGUGCAGUAGAGGCAAGUGGAAUUUCUAGUGUAGCGGUUAAAUGCGUAGAUAUUAGAAGGAACACCAGUGGCGAAGGCGGCUUGCUGGGCUGUGACUGACGCUGAGACACGAAAGCGUGGGGAGAAAAUAGGAUAAUAUACCCUAGUAGGCCACGCCGUAAACGAUGAGUACUAAGUGUCGGGCAACCGGUGCUGAAGUUAACACAUUAAGUACUCCGCCUGAGUAGUACGGUCGCAAGGCUGAAACUCAAAUGAAUUGGCGGGG
rnacentral:rRNA from 1 species